ensembl:lncRNA
CAGACACACACACACACACACACACAAUUCCUAAUGUAAUGCAAUGAUGUAAGAUGUCAUUAUUAAUAAAAAUAAAAAAGGGGGAAUAUAUUCAGAAGUCUGUAUUUUUAAUGUGUUUUAAAGACAUGUUGCAAAAGGGGGGCCUCGGUCACAUGUCAAUGCCAUUUGAGGGGCCUUGCCCUGGAAAAGUUUGGGAACCACCGACUUGAUCAACUGUUUUAAGCUUAAAGUGAUAAAACGCAGGCUGUCUGGACACUACAAGUAGUCGCUGCCAAAAUCACAACAAUUAGGUGAACUUGGAUUAUUUUAUGGUGAAUCGGUUUUUGUUUUUAAACUGAUGUAUUUAGCCAUUUUAACUAGAAGAGAGCCACAAUUAUGAAUAAUUUAUACAGUAUUUUUAAACACAAGCAUCUAACUGGGGCAGGGUUGAACAGAAAAACAAGUCCUUCAUUAACCUGUUGCUUAAAACUGAUUCAGCACAUUUAGGUCUAAACAUGAAAGUAAUGAAUAAAAUGGCUAGGGGUGAACCUUGAGAGAUUUAGUUCUGGCGGUUUAAAUGCUGUUUAAAGCAGAAAAUGAAGUAAACCUUAUAAAAAAAAUAAAAUGAAUAAAAAUCACUUCAACGUACUCCAUUCAUAUUCUGUCUGUUAGAAAACUAGGAGUCUGUAUAAUAAUCAGAAACAUCAGCUUUUGGCGUUUUGUACUUCCUUCAGUCUGCAAUAAUGAUGACCACACACACUUUACACAUUUGACCUUUUUAUUGUAGGAUUCACACGUAUAAUGAAUUCACAUUUAUUUCAGCAAUUUAGCAAACAUCAGGGAAAUAAAAGGCAAUGUACACUUCAAUACACUCGAAUUGCUGUAAAGCACCAGACUUCCUGAAUGUUCCUCCACCCAUCAGAGAAGAAACUCCUGUUUCUCACCAGCACACACUCGUAGCUUCACUCCUCCCCCUGACUGACUGACAUUAACAUGUUAUUAAUAUGCAAACAGGUGGAAGCACGGAUACGUAGUUCUCUCUCACUACAGGGACAUACUGGAGUUUUUCUACAAUUGAAAGAUUUACAGAUGUUCAUAUGAUCUAUGUGUAGGCACGCCUGAAAGCUGACACGCUACAGAUUCUCACCAGCUUUUAGUCAUGCUCGUAUGUUAAAACCCCGUCAUGAUGUUACGUGAGAAAGAAGAUACAAGGGAGUCUGACCAUGGUGGAGCUCGCCGGCGAUUCUCACGUCCCCAGGGGGUUAACACACCUUCCAUAAAAAGCAGGUAGUGUGUUCUACAGCCAUGUUUCAUAUUUACUGUAAUAAACUCACAUUACAGUCCAAAUUUUCCAUGAACAUUGCAGGUAUUAAAGAGUUUGCUGUGCUAAUUUAAGUCAAUCUCCUCACCGUUUCUUUCAUUCGUAACAUUACUGUUCAACAGAGUGAACACUAGGUAAGAGCUAGUAAUGUCGCGCAUGCGUAGUAGACGGUAGGCGGUGCUGCCGCAGUACAACUCCAGGUGUGUACGCGGAUCAGGUAGCGACCGUCGACGCAGAUCUAUUCUACACUAAAACUCAUUUUCCGCUCCUUUACCUGGUACGGAAACGAAACUGCGUCAGAUUACGGUUAGUUGGAGUUUUUAUUUAUUCUUUUAAAAAGGUUAUGUUGAGGUAAGCCGAAUACUCUAAUAAUAAUAACUACUACACUUCGUGUUGUUUUGAGGAAGUGACGGGCUUCAGUCUUAACAGGUAGCUGACGACACGGUGCUAACAAAAGAUGGCGGCGGAGGCCGGAAGUGAACGCAGUUCACUCUUUCCACUUCCGGGGCGAACCCAAGCGCGCGGUUAACAUUUUCCGACUAGCGUGAACGGCAUAAUGUCCGGUGAAACGCGUGAGAAAAGUAGACAGCCGACAAAAGCUGAACGUUUUGAGUAUAAACUUACCUGUUUGUAGUCUCAAAAGCUACAUGAGCUAAUGCUAAUAAAACUAUUCACCUUUUUUUAUUUGCGCGUGCGAAUGAGGUAAAUGUACAUCGCUAAUGUAUGCUAACAAGUUAAAACUAAUUCAAUACACUUCGUUUAAAUAAAAAUAAAUCAAUAAAUCUGCAUGGUAAUGUCAACGCCGAGCAUUUGUUCAAAACACACACACAAUAUGCACAAAAAUACACAUACAUAGUUUUAGAAACUGCAGGGAACCUCUCAAAACUCACGCGCAGGAAAAUGACUCUGUACUAAACAGAAAAAUAUAAAAGAUAUAUAUAAGGUAUAUAAAAGAUAUACCGUAAAAAUGAUAGAAAAGCUGUUUCUUAAAUCCGAUGUACAAGUUUUACAAUUUUAAUUACUUGUAAAAUAGAUAGAUUAAUCGAGAUUAACACUAGAGACACAAAAAAGCAUGCUCACAUCUCUGGAGAGAAAAGCAGAAAGGGGCGCUUCUUCGUCUUCUGUUUGUUUUUACCACCUGAAGGUGCAUUACCGCCACCUACGGGACUGGAGUGUGGCCGGCAGAUUGGCAGGAUGAUAAUAAUAAUAAUAAUAAUAAUAAUAAUAAUAAUAAUAAUAAUACAUAAAUAAAAAACAAACUAUAUACUAGGUAUUCAUGCUAAGUUAUUAAAGUCUCUCACUUAUCCCAGUAUUUUUAGAUAGUUCAUUAGGGGGCGGUGCAUUUCCCCAGAUGUUUUCCCCAGCAAGUUCUCUAGUGUCAUGUUUUGUUUUCCAAUCUGCAUCUCUAGCUCAGUUCUUUCCUCCUCAUACCUUUUGCAGUCUAACAGUACGUGUUUCACCGUCUCUUGUGUACUGCAGUGUGUGCAGAGUCCAGUGGGGUGUUUUCCUAUUCUGUUUAAUGCUAGAUUUAAUCCAGCAUGACCUAUUCUAAGACGUGUACUAUCAUCUCUUCCUUUGGGUUCCUGCCCUGCCUCACACUCGUGCCUACUGUUUUUGUAUGGUAUGUAGGUGUCGUCCGGUGUCAGCUGUGUCCCAGUGUUCCUGCCGUAUUUUAUGCUCUUGUCCCUUUAUAAUGGUUUUGAUCUCUGCUCUACUUAAUGGUACUUGUAUAUCAACUGUUUCAUGCUUUAUAGAUCUCUUUGCCAGUACAUCCACAGUUUCAUUUCCUUCUACCCCUACAUGUGCAGGAACCCAGAAGAAGGAACACUCAGCCCCUUAGCAUGAAGUAUGAGAAGCAGAUGAAGUAUUUGGUAGACAAUGUCUUGUCUGCAUGAUGUUUUCCCAGACUGUAUGCUUGAUGGUGCUGAUAGACUGUCAGAAGCUAUAGCGACAUCUUGGUUCUGAUUAUUUUUUCCCAAAAACUGCAGUGCCAAUAGGACUCCUAACAGUUCUACAGUGUACACUGAUAAAUGAUCGGUCACCCUUUUUUGACCGCUACUUCAUACCGGGGAAUGAAAAAAGCCGCACCAGUUGCGGCCAGUCUCAGGCUGUUUUGACCCGUCUGUAUAUAUGAGUAAUUUAUUCUGAUACUGGUCCAUAUAGUUUUGAGUUAUCCCUUGUGGUGCUAUUUCAGAAUUCUCUUUUAAUAUUUGUUGUAAUCCUGUAUCAACAGGUAUCAACAGGGUGGUACAGUUGGUAUCGCCGAUAAUGGGGCUCACUUGUAGCUGACUGAGACCCGCAUUUUGUGCCUUUACAUUUCCUAACCAUCCGAAGCUAUUAAAGUUAGUCCUAUAAAACUCUGAGCAUUCUUGUAAGAUGGCUUUCGUGGGGUGCACCCUGCUAUACCCUUGUAGAUUUACCCAAUAUGCCAGCAUGAUCUUAACCCUCCUGAUACACAGCGGCAUCUCUCCUGUCUCCACCUGUAAUGCAGUCACUGGUGAUGAUUUAAAUGCUCUAGUACAGAUCCGGAGUGCCUGUGCCUGUUCCACAUCGAGCUUUUAAGAUUUGAUUGUGAUGAAGACAAUGUCAGCAUGUAAUGCCGACAUGUACUGUGACAUACCGAAGCACAGCAUGAUCAGUAUGCAGUAUUCCAGCAUGAUAACGACCCCAAACACACCUCCAAGAUGACCACUGCCUUGCUAAAGCAGCUGAGGGUGAAGGUGAUGCACUGGCCAAGCAUGUCUCCAGACCUAAACCCCAUUGAGCCUCUGUGGGGCAUCCUCAACAUGAAGGUGGAGGAGCACAAGGUCUCUAACAUCCACCAGCUCCGUGAUGUCGUCAUAGAGGACUGGAAGAGGACUCCAGUGGAACCUGUGAAGCUCUGGUGAACUCCAUGCCCAAGAGGGUUAAGGCAGUGCUGGGAAAUAAUGGUGGCCAAUCAAAAUAUUGACACUUUGGGCCCAAUUUGGACAUUUUCACUUAGGGGUGUACUCACUUCUGUUGCCAGCGGUUUAGACAUUAAUGUCUGUGUGUUGAGUUAUUUUGAGGGGACGGCACAUUGACACUGUUACACAAGCUGUACACUCACUACUUUACACUGUAGCACAGUGUCAUUUCUUCAGUGUGUCACAUGAAAAGAUUUAAUCAGAUAUUUACAAAAAUGUGAGGGGUGCACUCACUUUUGUGAGAUACUGUAUAUGCUAGGCAGCCAUAAUCACAGGCAGCUCUCAUAAGAGCCUGAUAGAUAUUUAUGAGCGAUGCUCUUCUUGCUCCCCAGUCUCGCCCUGACAGAAAUCUCAGAACAUUAUUAAUCUUUUUACAUUUGUUUUUAAUUUUAUCAAUAUGCAGACCCCAGGUCAGCUUCUCAUCAAAAAUCACUCCUAAAAAUCUCACAGCCGUGACCUGUUCAAGAUAUAAGACAUAUGAUAGCCCAUAUCAUUUAAGUGGUACUGUUUUAUGACGUUUAGGGAAACAUAUAUCUUGUGAUUUUGCAAUUAACAGUUUAAAUCCCCAUUCAUUUGCCAACGGUUCUACUUUCCCUAUUGCAUGUUGCAUUUUCUUUCUUAAAUAUUCUAUAUCCCGACCCCUAACCCAGAGUGCCCCAUAAGUCCGCAUAAAGAGAGACUUUUUUGGCCAGCAGUGGUUUCACACCAUUUUUAUGCAGUAUUUUUCCUGACAGUGGAGACAUGAACAAAGACUUUUGCAGGUUGUAGAGUUUGCUGCAGGUUUUUUGCUGUUACCCCCGGGUUCUUUCUCACCUCUUUCAGGAUUUCCCUUUGUGCUCUUGGUGUGAUCUUUGAAGGAAACCCACUCCUAGAGAGAGUAUCAACAGUCGUGAAUUUCCUCCAUUUGCAGACAGAGUCUUAUCAUGGAUUGAUGAACACCCAGGUCUUUAAAAUGCUUGUGUAGUCUCUUCCAGCUUCGUGCAUCUCUAUAAUGUCAUCUAGGAUCCUGUGAAAGUCGAUGGGAUCGAGGCAUGGUUCACACUAAGCAACUGUUCUUGAGAACAACAGAUUUGUAAGUAACCAGACUUUGUGUCUCUUUACAUGAAGGGCAAAACACCCGUACUUCCAAUCUGAUUCCAGCUAAUGGAAAGACCUUAUUCCACCUGAAGGCUUGCUGCUGAUGCCAGGGACUGCGGGGCAGGUCUGGUCCUCCUGCAGGCCGGCCCAGAUGGAAUUGACCAGCCAGUUUGUUUUUAUUAAAGAAUUCCACCAGCAUCAGUGAGUUUAUUCCACCAUAGAGAAAGAGUUCCCGGUCCCAGCACUCCAACAUUUUGGAGGGUAUUUGGGGUCAUUAUCUAACCCCAUCCAGGUUUAAACAGACCACUUGUCUUCAUCAACAGGAUAUGGAAUCAGAACUGAUAAUGAGCUCUUUCUAGCUCUCUCUGUUUUCCUAGGGCCCAGGAGGACCAAAAAGCUUGGAAUGGAACUGCAGGAGGUGUGAGGUGUUACGACCCCCAGCACUCUCUCCGGUCCUGAUAUCAGUGCAGUAGCGGUCUGGGUGGCAGUUUAGACCUACAUGUGGAGGUGUUUGGGUAUAACGGGGGGACGCGUCCGCUUCCUCUCUCUCUCUCUCGCACGCUUACACACGCGCAUGUGCACACUGACACUCACUCAGUCGGACAUCCUCAUACUCCCUCAUUAGACAUCCUCGAGGUGACGAUCUAUAUUUACAUUUAUAAUAAACAUAAACUGUUUGCAAAGACUAUUUUGUGUCUGUGUCCCUUUGAUGUUUUGCUGGUCACACAAGCCAGCCGUAACAUUCUGUAUGGAAAAAAAUAGGAAAUUAAUA